rnacentral:rRNA from 1 species
UACGUAGGGUGCGAGCGUUAAUCGGAAUUACUGGGCGUAAAGUGUGCGCAGGCGGCGCCGCAAGUCGAGUGUGAAAGCCCCGGGCUUAACUUGGGAAUUGCGCUCGAAACUAGGGUGCUGGAGUGUGGCAGAGGAAGGUGGAAUUCCACGUGUAGCGGUGAAAUGCGUAGAGAUGUGGAGGAACACCGAUGGCGAAGGCAGCCUUCUGGGCCAACACUGACGCUCAUGCACGAAAGCGUGGGGAGCAAACAGG